rnacentral:rRNA from 1 species
GUUAUCGUUUAUUUGAUAGUACCUUACUACUUGGAUAACCGUGGUAAUUCUAGAGCUAAUACAUGCUAAAAACCCCGACUUCGGAAGGGGUGUAUUUAUUAGAUAAAAAACCAAUGCCCUUCGGGGCUCCUUGGUGAUUCAUAAUAACUUAACGAAUCGCAUGGCCUUGUGCCGGCGAUGGUUCAUUCAAAUUUCUGCCCUAUCAACUUUCGAUGGUAUGGUCUUGGCUUACCAUGGUUUCAACGGGUAACGGGGAAUUAGGGUUCUAUUCCGGAGAGGGAGCCUGAGAAACGGCUACCACAUCCAAGGAAGGCAGCAGGCGCGCAAAUUACCCAAUCCCGACACGGGGAGGUAGUGACAGUAAAUACUGAUACAGGGCUCUUUUGGGUCUUGUAAUUGGAAUGAGUACAAUUUAAAUCCCUUAACGAGGAACAAUUGGAGGGCAAGUCUGGUGCCAGCAGCCGCGGUAAUUCCAGCUCCAAUAGCGUAUAUUAAAGUUGUUGCAGUUAAAAAGCUCGUAGUUGAACCUUGG